CAUAUGUCCAAAUCAUAAUAUAAUCCUCCUUAAUUUCAUGUUAUGUCUUCAUUUGCAGAUUAAAAUAGAGACGUACAUGCGCCAAAGAUGCCUAAGUAAUUUUAGUAUCUGGUGAUAACGCUACCAGACCACUAAUCUCAUUGGGUGGGUUUUAUGGUAGUAUCACCCUGAACGACAAGAUAAUUAAAGGGUCAAUCCCAACAAAGUAGUUAAAUAUGCAUAAAAAUGUAUCCUUCGUCGGAAGGAAGUGGAUUUUGAUUACUUUAUAAAUAUUCAUGAAUUGCUUUUUUGUCUCGAGUUUCUAUAAUUUCUAGCCAUCCUCCUAAUCGUUAUUUUGCAAGAUUGGGACAAAAAUUUGCAGGUGUCCUGCUCCAACGUAUGCAUAAACUGAGACCUUAAUAUGCGUGCAAGAGAAAACAUUACUACUUUUUUUCAAAUGACAUCUCUAAUUGUUCUUAAACUUUUUGGUGGAUUAUAACAACAACCAACCAGUAAUCGAUGAGUAGUAUUAUGCAAAUUUUUUACAUGCAAAAAAAGUCAAACGUACGUAUGUAAUGGUUGUUAACCUGUCUGUGACUUUCCAAUUUCAUAAAGUUUACAAGAGAAGUGCAAUCAAGGUACAAAAUAUUAUUGACCUUUUGGCUGUAAUUUUUUUUGAUCCGAUUGCCUCAUCACUUCUUUCGUAUUACCACCACCACCAAUGCUAAAUAAUAAUAAGUGAAAGUUUUAUUGUGUUGGAUAAUGGGAUUAAAAUUGUUAUAAAGUUUUCUCAAAAUUAGAUUUAUGUAUGUAUGUACAUACAUCCUUCAAUAAGCAGACAAAUAGUGUUGGAUUUGAAAUUUGUUAUUUCCCAGCUUAUCCGUACUUACAUAUAAAUAUUUUGUAUUAAAUAAAGUGGGAUGUACAUACAUAAUUAGCUAUUAAAUAUGUUUAAUUUUUGUCAUUCUUUUUCCCUGGGAAGGGAAUCGAAAGUGGUUCCAAUCCAUAAGUGUUCAAAUUGUAGAAUAAAAAAAUUUGCAAUAAAAUACAAAAGUGUGAAAAAAUACGGAAAAUGAAAAUUAUUUAUCACGCAGUAAACUAUGUACAGUCAUGUCAACUUUUAGCAUAUUACACAUUGUUGUAUUGUAAGAUGAAGCCCAGAGUUUUAGCUUUUUCAUGUAAAAAGCACAUAUUUUUCAGUCUCAGCUCAUCAAGUAAUCAAGUAAAUAACAAGGACAACAAUGGAACGGUGUUGGUGUGUGUGUAAAGAAACAAAUAAAUAAAAAACUGUUGUUAUAUUCAAAGCCUAAAGGUUGGUUUGUCGGUGGGAAAAUAUUGUUGCGAGUUUCUAGGUUAAUUGCAAAUAUGUGUUUGUUUGAAAAAGUGCAAUGCGACCUUCCUUUUUCUUAACAAUAAGUUCCAUUUCAGUCUACGCCCACGCAAUGCACGUUUGCAAAUGCAAAUUCUGUCAUUUGUUUUCACUUGAACUUGUGCAUGCAUUCCCAUAAAUAUCGUGUUAUUAAAAAUAUAAAUAUGUAUGUAAAUUAACCAAAGACCGAAAGGUAUUUCCGGAUAAUAAUUGUUUUUGUUUAUAAUUUCUAAAUAACCAUUAUCAAUUAUUUGAAAUAUUGAGUGCAUUUUAAGGAUAAUUUCUGUAAACAAUGCAAAACUUGCUUAAAUGUAUGGAAAUAUGUAUUUAAAGCGUAAAAUAUAUUUUGAAAAAUUCGCAUGAAAUUUGCGUAGAUUUGGAUAACAAAAUUCUGUAGAAUACCCGGUAAGCCAACGGGACUGCGUAAGAUAUUAAAUUUUGCAUCUUUUUUUCGCAUGCAAAAUUUAAUCAGCUACAUGUUUGACGUUUUUAUUAAAAUAUUUCACGCUUAACUUGAUCUUGAUUAAAUGUAUGUAGACACGCUUUGUUACGGACUCAUUUCAUCAGUGACAAAGACGCUAAACUGCAACCUAGUUAGCUUAGCUUGAAGUGACACAUCAUCGUAAUUCGAAUAUGUCGAGUUAACUAACUAAUUUCGUGAUUUUGAUCACAAAAUGACAAUGCUUAAUUUGCUUUAACAUUACACACGCGCAGUUUUUGAUUGGAUGCUCACGACUCUGAAAUAAUUUAGUGACAUAAGUGAGCCACACACUUUUUGUUAAAAAAAUUAAAUGGAAUGCCUCAAAAUUUGUAGAAUUACGCAUGAUGAUGGAUGCUAGGAAAAUGGGUACGCAUAAUUUAACAAAUCACUAAAACAAUGGGAUGGCCAGGUAAAAGUAAAACCGUCUUUACUCGCAAAGUUGGAGGAGAUGAUGAUGGCAAUAAAAUUACUUCCCCUUAAAGCGUGAACUACAUAAUAGCGGCGUUUCACAUGAAGAUCAAGUGCAUUUUCAUAUUUCAUCAUUUUCUUCAUACCUCUGCUGUGAAUUGAAGUUCAUCUCUAGAUUCAACACAGAUUCUCAUUGUUCCCAUCUUAUCCGUGCUUCUCAUCAGAGGAGUUGUAGUAAGUUGAUUGUAAUACAAUGAGGAUAAUUUGUGUUUGUUUAAGCAGCAGAUUGUUAUGCAUGAUGCACAAGUUUAUGGAAUCACAGAAAUAUUUAAAAAAGCGGCAAAUCCGGCAUGACCAUAGGCGAGUUUAAAUCCUUUCGCUGCACAAACGUAAGUAUGACUGACCCAAUUAUUUCAAGCAAAAUGAUUAAUUACUAAUUACAAAGUCAGGAAUUUAAUAAUUCAACCGAGUCAUGAUUCAAUUGAAUACACGAGGAAUUUGAGGUGAAACUGGUACCUAUAUACAUAUGGACAAUAUAAUUUAUGAGUAUUUUUCAUACCAAAUGUCAAACAAAGUCGUCUUGUUUUCAUUUUUACAAAUAUGCGUAUCCCAUGAAGUUAGACGUAUUUACAUAUGUCGCACUGCGACUGAAUCAGAUAAAGAAUUAUGAUUUGCUGCGAGUUGCAUGUCUGCAUUUCAAUCUUUAAUCGGAGUAGGUAUUUUUUAAUAAGUCUGUAAUUUCAAAAUAAAUAAUAAAAUAAAUAAUAAAAUAAACCAUGAGUUGACGGACUUUUAAAAUUUUCACUUCCGUGAAAAUCUACGUAUUAUAGUUUCUCCGUCUGUCUCAUUUUAUUAAAAAAGUAGCAGCAGCCGCAGCAGGAAUUUAUUUAUUUUUUAUCACAACUUUGAAUCAGUCUUGAUUUAUACUCACAAGUUUAGAAUUUAUGAUUAUUUUUGCCAAGCUUUCCAUUUUAUUAACCUUCCUUU